UUAAAAGAUGGUUCUGCUAUCACUUUUGGAUGGACCUGCGGUGCAUUAGCUAGUUGGUGNGGUAACGGCUUACCAAGGCGAUGAUNCAUAGCCGAGUUGAGAGACUGAUCGGCCACAUUGGGACUGAGACACGGCCCAUACUCCUACGGGAGGCAGCAGUAGGGAAUCUUCCACAAUGGACGCAAGUCUGAUGGAGCAACGCCGCGUGAGUGAAGAAGGCUUUCGGCUCGUAAAACUCUGUUGUUAGAGAAGAACGAGAGUGAGAGUAACUGUUCAUUAUUUGACGGUAUNUAACCAGAAAGUCACGGCUAANUACGUGCCAGCAGCCGCGGUAAUACGUAGGUGGCAAGCGUUNUCCGGAUUUAUUGGGCGUAAAGNGANCGCAGGCGGUUUUUUAAGUCUGAUGUGAAAGCCUUCGGCUCAACCGGAGNANUGCAUNGGAAACUGGAUGACUUGAGUGCAGAA
rnacentral:rRNA from 1 species